ACACAGCCCCCAGGACACACAGCCCCCCUCCCUGGACCCACAGACCAUCCCCUCGAGGGACGAAGUCUGGCCUUUCUGGCACAGGGCAGCUGGGCUGUGGUCCUCCAACAUGAGUGGCCCCGGAGACAAGAUGGAUGGCCUAGGGUCUCCUGCUCAGACAACCCUCUGGUCUCUCUCACUGCCCCCUGUGUCCUGUUUUCCCCUUGCACCCAGACACCCACAGUCCAGGCAGCACCCCUUCCUGCCCCUCCCAUCCUCUCCUCCCAUCUGCACCCUUGGGCUGCUGACCCACCCUACAAGGUGGCACCCUUUCUGCCCUGGGGCCCUGGGAUCCGAAUUUGCCCAUGCAUGCCCUGCUGGUAGAGUCGGAGUAACUCAGUUUCCGUAUGUGGGGGGAUCUCAGCCUGGUGGCCCGUGGUUUGGGACAGGGGCCAGGAUCUAAUCACAGACUCACAGACCUGGGGCUGUUCAUUGCAGCCCACAGACUCAGAAAGAACCCUGCUGCUGGAGAGCCUCGCCCCAGCAGUCCGGUUGUUACCUCUGCACACGGGCACCUGUGGUCACCAAAGCGGGCACUCAGGGAAGUGAGAGCCUCAGCCCUUCCUUUGAUCUGGGGCCUCCCGCAGUUCCUAUGUCACUCCAGGUCCUUCUGUGACAGACAGUAGUAGGCUGGGGGUGCUGCUGAGGGCGCUCCUCGCCACUGUAUCUUAACUCCAGAAACUCAAAGUUGUACCACCCCCUGGAAUGGGUCCAAUGGUGACCCCCAGAGACAUGCCCACGCAGAACUGCGACUGUGACCCUAUUUGGAGAACCUUUGCAGGUGCAAUUAAGGACCCUAAGAUGAGAUCACCCUGGAUCUAGAGUGGACCUUGAAUCCAUGACGAGUGUCGUCCUUAGUGGAGAAGGGGAGGGGAGAAGACAGAGGGAUGGCCACCUGAUGGGAAGGCUGAAAUUGGCGCCACGUAGCUGCGAGCCAACACGUGCUGACAACUGCAGUCACACCCAGCAUGAGAACACUCCCAGAAGAGGCCGGGGCCCUGGGGGGGAAGGAAGACCUGAGAACACGCGCAUCGCUGGGAGUGAACAGGGAAUGCCACUUGGAUUUGCUAAAGCACUUUUUACUGUGAAGUAUAACUUCUUGUUGUGGAGUGUCCUGGGGCCUGCACAACACUGGGGGUACUCAGCACGGCGGAGAUUUGCCCUCUCACAGCUCUGGGGGCUCUGGGGCCGGAGUCUGAGGUCCAGGUGCAGAUCUAGGGGCUCCUUCCCGCCUCCGCCAGCUUCUGGGGGCUCCAGGCGUCCUUUGUCCCCCAGGAAGAACUCCAGGUCACAGAGGCUAUAUUCCUUCUAGAACAUUAGUGGCAGUCUUAAGGAGUCCUUUAGCUGAAGAUGGAACUGAAUGGAAGGGAGGAGAGCCCUGUUUGGUCUGGUGUGACCUUGCCACCAGGGGACAUGUUCCAGUGCCCCCCUGCCGUCCUUGACCUAGGGACCUGCAGCUUUGGUUCUCCAGAAGUCUGUUCUUCACAGGGGAGAAGAGGUGCCACAGGGGCUCCCUUCAACUUGGGCCUCUCCUCACAUCCCUCCUGGUCACCCACGUGGGAAAGAGAUGCCCCACCUGGGCCGGCCCCGCAUCGGUCACAGAUUCCUCAUUGUAACCGUCAACUGCUGCCGAGAGAUGUCAGAGAGCUACAGCCAGGAAGGGAAGGGAGUCUCUUAUCAGCAGACGCCACGUUCAGGACACAGGUGAUGAAGCAAAUGAAAUAAAGGGCUAUGUGAACAUACGGAAUCAGAAAGAACCAGCCAACAGUCCUACCAAGAAACAAGUAUACGUUUUAUUGUCGAGAAACAUUCUCUUAAAUAACAGCGUCCACUUCUUUCCUUACCGAAACGGCUCCGGAUGAUAAUUUCCUCGCCCAUCUGGAUCUGACGUAACUAUGUUGUGGCCAUUCGACAACUAGAGAUAUCUUUGGCAUUUUCUUCCCUUUGCUUCGUAACUUGUGGGACAUCGUGUACAAAAAAAAUGUAGAUUUACAGAAAAAUAUGCAUAUAAAUCACUUAUUGAUCCCCAAACAGGAUAAAUAACAUAGCAAAAACUUGAUCAAAUCCGUGUCAGACCCGCCCUGCAUAAUCUCCCCAUCUCCCCCGUGCUGGUAAACUAGCACUUCGAUGUGAAGAGGAUACAAAAAGGCCCUCUUGUGAGGUCGAGGACAUUUCUCUGUCCCGCUGCUCUCUCCAGAGUCCCCGGGACUCACACUCAUCAGGCACGUGUUGCGCUCUCAUGAAAGCAGCUGUGGCAGGGAAAGGCCGAGCCGCCGUCAUCUGGAAUCUCGCGUCAUCCGGAGCUGAGCAGACGGCCAUUCCCCCUGGACAAACACACGUUGAAAACAAGAGCUUCAUGCACAUCCACGGAGAAACGUCAGUCAGGCUGGGUUUUCACUGCACGGAGAGGCUCGGGCACCGUGAGAGAUCUCAGCGUGAGAGAUCUCAGCGUGAGAGACCGACAGCCUGCUUUAGUCGCCUUGGACUAGACACCCCUACCCCUGGGGCAGACCUGGAGGGGAGACGGUGGCUGGUGAGGUCCUCCUGCAGGCCUCCCCUGACUGCGGUUUGGGGUGAGAGACCGAGGGUGUCAGGGAUGACCUUCCCAACCACACCGCUGACAUCAGAAGCACGUGUGACCAGCUCUAUGGGGACACGCCUGAGAAGCAAGUGCUUCGGUCUCAUCUACACUAUUCCUCAUUCAUAUGAGGCCAGGUUGCGAGGAAAUCCGUGACAGGGACUGUCACCAUAAAGGCCCCACAAAGUAGAUGGCAUCAGAGGACACGGGUCUUUGGACAGAUUAACACCGAGGGAUCUGAACAGUAUUCCAACCUCAGGUUAUAGGGUGCCCCCUAUGCUCGAGGCGCUUCUGUUUCUCAGGUUCCCCUCUUUGCAAAGAAAAAAUAAAAAGAGU